GGGGGCCCGCAAGCGGUGGAGCAUGUGGUUCAAUUCGACGCAACGCGAAGAACCUUACCUGGGCUCGAAGCACAGUGGACCGGGGUAGAAAUAUCCCUUUUCGCAAGAACUGCUGUGGAGGUGCUGCAUGGCUGUCGUCAGCUCGUGUCGUGAGAUGUUGGGUUAAGUCCCGCAACGAGCGCAACCCUUAUCGUUUAGUUGCCAGCGGGUCAAGCCGGGCACUCUAGCGAAACCGCCUCGGAUAACGGGGAAGAAGGUGGGGAAUGACUUCAAGUCCUCAUGGCCUUUAUGUCCAGGGCUACACACGUGCUACAAUGCUCGGUACAAACCGUCGCAAACUCGCGAGGGGGAGCUAAUCCGAAAAAGCCCGCCUCAGUUCGGAAUGAAGUCUGCAACUCGACUUCCUGAAGCUGGAAUCGCUAGUAAUCGCAGAUCAGAACGCUGCGGUGAAUACGUUCCCCGGGCCUUGUACACACC
rnacentral:rRNA from 1 species